GACGAACGCUGGCGGCGUGCUUAACACAUGCAAGUCGAACGGAAAGGCCCUGCUUUUGUGGGGUGCUCGAGUGGCGAACGGGUGAGUAACACGUGAGUAACCUGCCCUUGACUUUGGGAUAACUUCAGGAAACUGGGGCUAAUACCGGAUAGGAGCUCCUGCUGCAUGGUGGGGGUUGGAAAGCUUCGGCGGUUGGGGAUGGACUCGCGGCUUAUCAGCUUGUUGGUGGGGUAGUGGCUUACCAAGGCUUUGACGGGUAGCCGGCCUGAGAGGGUGACCGGCCACAUUGGGACUGAGAUACGGCCCAGACUCCUACGGGAGGCAGCAGUGGGGAAUAUUGCACAAUGGGCGGAAGCCUGAUGCAGCAACGCCGCGUGCGGGAUGACGGCCUUCGGGUUGCAAACCGCUUUCGCCUGUGACGAAGCGUGAGUGACGGUAAUGGGUAAAGAAGCACCGGCUAACUACGUG
rnacentral:rRNA from 1 species